AAGAGACAGCAGUCGCCGCGGGAAUACGAAGGGUGCAAGCGUUAAUCGGAAUUACUGGGCGUAAAGCGUGCGUAGGCGGUGAGUUAAGUCUGCUGUGUAAUCCCCGGGCUCAACCUGGGAAUGGCAGUGGAUACUGGCUCGCUAGAGUGUGUCAGAGGAUGGUGGAAUUCCCGGUGUAGCGGUGAAAUGCGUAGAGAUCGGGAGGAACAUCAGUGGCGAAGGCGGCUCACUGGACCGUUGUUGACGCUGAGGUGCGAAAGCGUGGGGAGCAAACAGGAUUAGAUACCCCUGUAGUCCCUGUCUCUUAUAC
rnacentral:rRNA from 1 species